CUAAAGAACCUAUUUUAAUAAAUUGAAAAAACACAAAAUGUCAGUUUUGAAACGUGUAAUAGUCUAAUAUUAUUACUAUUCUGUUCUAUUAUAUUAUUACUAUUAUUACAUUACAGAAAAUAUAGAUAAAAGCCAGUAUUUCCAGGAAGUAAGGGCGGACAUUUUAUCACUGCUGGUACUACUUCAGCCAAUCAAAUGUCAAAGGCUAGCGAAGGAGCUGUCACCGCGGCGGAUGGAGGAACCGGCUUCCGCGGGAGGCACCUGGACGCAAAUACAAUAAGCGUUAACCACGGAAAACAAUAAAUAGUCCGGCUUGCGACCAUCUGUCAGCUGGAUGUAUGAAGAAGGCGCUCCAACAGAUGAAAUCAAGCAGCAGAGCGGAGGGAGCGAAGCUAAAAUGCUCCGGAGAUGCCAAGCAGCCAGAGGACUACACGGCGAGGAACUGAAAACACCGGCGCCGCUGUUCGUUUGGAGACAUUCUGUCAAAGUCGGGCUCGGGCCUGACACCGCCGAUCACACUUUGACGGACAGUAAGAGUAGCUCUCGCUGACGGGGUCCUAUUAAGGUGGAUGUUUUCAAAGUUUUCACUCGGCACUGGGGAAAAAAUAGGAAGGACACAGAGGGGAAGCGGAGCCUGAAUGGAGCUGACAUGCUUCAAGACCCUCUUCCCCAAACGCGCUGUCGGGGGUCAAAUCGCUUUCCUUCACCCAACGUGUCUAAUGGAGAGUUGGGAAUAGCCUCACUUCUUAUAGUCACAAACAAGUUCUCACACAAUCCCAACACACAACAACUGUAUUGACUAGACUUGUCUUACUUCGUCGCUCAUUUGACGACUUUCUUGGCUAAAACUUUUGAUAAGACUCCACUUUUGAUUCCUUGACUUAACAAGUCUUACU